rnacentral:rRNA from 1 species
GGGUUGUGAGGUUAAGCGACUAAGCGUACACGGUGGAUGCCCUGGCAGUCAGAGGCGAUGAAGGACGUGCUAAUCUGCGAAAAGCGUCGGUAAGGUGAUAUGAACCGUUAUAACCGGCGAUGUCCGAAUGGGGAAACCCAGUGCAAUUCGUUGCACUAUCGUUAACUGAAUACAUAGGUUAACGAGGCGAACCGGGGGAACUGAAACAUCUAAGUACCCCGAGGAAAAGAAAUCAACCGAGAUUCCCCCAGUAGCGGCGAGCGAACGGGGAGCAGCCCAGAGUCUGAAUCAGCUUGUGUGUUAGUGGAACGGUCUGGAAAGUCCGACGGUACAGGGUGAUAGUCCCGUACACCAAAAUGCACAGGUUGUGAACUCGAAGAGUAGGGCGGGACACGUGGUAUCCUGUCUGAAUAUGGGGGGACCAUCCUCCAAGGCUAAAUACUCCUGACUGACCGAUAGUGAACCAGUACCGUGAGGGAAAGGCGAAAAGAACCCCGGCGAGGGGAGUGAAAAAGAACCUGAAACCGUGUACGUACAAGCAGUGGGAGCACCUUCGGGUGUGACUGCGUACCUUUUGUAUAAUGGGUCAGCGACUUAUAUUCUGUAGCAAGGUUAACCGUAUAGGGGAGCCGCAGGGAAACCGAGUCUUAACUGGGCGUUAAGUUGCAGGGUAUAGACCCGAAACCCGGUGAUCUAGCCAUGGGCAGGUUGAAGGUUGGGUAACACUAACUGGAGGACCGAACCGACUAAUGUUGAAAAAUUAGCGGAUGACUUGUGGCUGGGGGUGAAAGGCCAAUCAAACCGGGAGAUAGCUGGUUCUCCCCGAAAGCUAUUUAGGUAGCGCCUCGUGAACUCAUCUUCGGGGGUAGAGCACUGUUUCGGCUAGGGGGUCAUCCCGACUUACCAACCCGAUGCAAACUACGAAUACCGAAGAAUGUUAUCACGGGAGACACACGGCGGGUGCUAACGUCCGUCGUGAAGAGGGAAACAACCCAGACCGCCAGCUAAGGUCCCAAAGUCAUGGUUAAGUGGGAAACGAUGUGGGAAGGCACAGACAGCCGGGAUGUUGGCUUAGAAGCAGCCAUCAUUUAAAGAAAGCGUAAUAGCUCACUGGUCGAGUCGGCCUGCGCGGAAGAUGUAACGGGGCUAAACCAUGCACCGAAGCUGCGGCAGCGACACUAUGUGUUGUUGGGUAGGGGAGCGUUCUGUAAGCCUGCGAAGGUGUGCUGUGAGGCAUGCUGGAGGUAUCAGAAGUGCGAAUGCUGACAUAAGUAACGAUAAAGCGGGUGAAAAGCCCGCUCGCCGGAAGACCAAGGGUUCCUGUCCAACGUUAAUCGGGGCAGGGUGAGUCGACCCCUAAGGCGAGGCCGAAAGGCGUAGUCGAUGGGAAACAGGUUAAUAUUCCUGUACUUGGUGUUACUGCGAAGGGGGGACGGAGAAGGCUAUGUUAGCCGGGCGACGGUUGUCCCGGUUUAAGCAUGUAGGCUGGUUGUCGGGGCAAAUCCGGAUAAUCAAGGCUGAGGUGUGAUGACGAGGCACUACGGUGCUGAAGUAACAAAUGCCCUGCUUCCGGGAAAGCCUCUAAGCAUCAGGUAACAUCAAAUCGUACCCCAAACCGACACAGGUGGUCAGGUAGAGAAUACCAAGGCGCUUGAGAGAACUCGGGUGAAGGAACUAGGCAAAAUGGUGCCGUAACUUCGGGAGAAGGCACGCUGGUGUGUAGGUGAAGUCCCUGCGGAUGGAGCUGAGACCAGUCGAAGAUACCAGCUGGCUGCAACUGUUUAUUAAAAACACAGCACUGUGCAAACACGAAAGUGGACGUAUACGGUGUGACGCCUGCCCGGUGCCGGAAGGUUAAUUGAUGGGGUUAUCCGUAAGGAGAAGCUCUUGAUCGAAGCCCCGGUAAACGGCGGCCGUAACUAUAACGGUCCUAAGGUAGCGAAAUUCCUUGUCGGGUAAGUUCCGACCUGCACGAAUGGCGUAAUGAUGGCCGGGCUGUCUCCACCCGAGACUCAGUGAAAUUGAACUCGCUGUGAAGAUGCAGUGUACCCGCGGCAAGACGGAAAGACCCCGUGAACCUUUACUAUAGCUUGACACUGAACAUUGAGCCUUGAUGUGUAGGAUAGGUGGGAGGCUUUGAAGCGUGGACGCCAGUCUGCGUGGAGCCAACCUUGAAAUACCACCCUUUAAUGUUUGAUGUUCUAACGUUGGCCCCUGACCGGGGUUGCGGACAGUGUCUGGUGGGUAGUUUGACUGGGGCGGUCUCCUCCCAAAGCGUAACGGAGGAGCACGAAGGUUAGCUAAUCCUGGUCGGACAUCAGGAGGUUAGUGCAAUGGCAUAAGCUAGCUUGACUGCGAGCGUGACGGCGCGAGCAGGUGCGAAAGCAGGUCAUAGUGAUCCGGUGGUUCUGAAUGGAAGGGCCAUCGCUCAACGGAUAAAAGGUACUCCGGGGAUAACAGGCUGAUACCGCCCAAGAGUUCAUAUCGACGGCGGUGUUUGGCACCUCGAUGUCGGCUCAUCACAUCCUGGGGCUGAAGUAGGUCCCAAGGGUAUGGCUGUUCGCCAUUUAAAGUGGUACGCGAGCUGGGUUUAGAACGUCGUGAGACAGUUCGGUCCCUAUCUGCCGUGGGCGCUGGAGAAUUGAGGGGGGCUGCUCCUAGUACGAGAGGACCGGAGUGGACGCAUCACUGGUGUUCGGGUUGUCAUGCCAAUGGCACUGCCCGGUAGCUAAAUGCGGAAGAGAUAAGUGCUGAAAGCAUCUAAGCACGAAACUUGCCCCGAGAUGAGUUCUCCCUGAGACUUUAAGUCUCCUGAAGGAACGUUGAAGACGACGACGUUGAUAGGCCGGGUGUGUAAGCGCAGCGAUGCGUUGAGCUAACCGGUACUAAUGAACCGUGAGGCUUAACCUUACAACGCCGAAG